rnacentral:lncRNA from 1 species
AAGAAGGCAUGAAGAAGAAGAAGUGGUCCAUGCCUAUGAUCCGACUAUCUGAGAUGCUGAGGCCAGAGAAUCAGAAGCCUUAGCUGCCUAGCAAGGUCAAGGCCAGCCUGGGUUACACGCUCAAAUAAGCAAACAGAAAAACUGGAGCAACAAAGAAAGAGAGGGGAGAACAUCGGAGAGGGGAGAGAGAUACACAGACAGAGAUUGACAGAUAGAUAGAUGUUCAUUAAGAAAGAGAAAACAAACACAUUGUAAAAACAAAAGAACACUGGGCUAUAGAGUGAGUUCUAGUUUAGUCAGGGUUACACCGAGAAAUCCUGUCUUCAAAACAAAACAAAACAACAAACAACGAGGAAAACAACUGGGGAGAAGAAUUAAGAGAAGUUAAGAGUCCAUUAGACCCAA